GGAAUAUUGGACAAUGGGGGGAACCCUGAUCCAGCCAUGCCGCGUGUGUGAAGAAGGCCUUUUGGUUGUAAAGCACUUUAAGCGAGGAGGAGGCUCCUAUAGAUAAUACCUAUAGAGAGUGGACGUUACUCGCAGAAUAAGCACCGGCUAACUCUGUGCCAGCAGCCGCGGUAAUACAGAGGGUGCAAGCGUUAAUCGGAUUUACUGGGCGUAAAGCGUACGUAGGUGGUCUUUUAAGUCGGAUGUGAAAUCCCUGAGCUUAACUUAGGAAUUGCAUUCGAUACUGGGAGACUAGAGUAUGGGAGAGGAUGGUAGAAUUCCAGGUGUAGCGGUGAAAUGCGUAGAGAUCUGGAGGAAUACCGAUGGCGAAGGCAGCCAUCUGGCCUAAUACUGACACUGAGGUACGAAAGCAUGGGGAGCAAACAGGAUUAGAUACCCGAG
rnacentral:rRNA from 1 species